rnacentral:lncRNA from 1 species
GAUGCUUCAAACUCGCUCACAACAGAGUAAUAUCGAGGAUGGAAGUAUUACCAAACUCGUGGACGACACCAUCUGGACAUAUCAACUUGGCCUUGGGACCUGCUGAUCUAAAUGCGGUUCAGCAUUUCAAGCGUAGUCAUUCUUUGAGCCAGAGGAGCAUAUUUUAGGCAUACUGCUGGAAGAAAAUCUCGCGAUAAACAUGUUUACCUGUUAAAGACACAAAAUGAUACAAUGGGGAUUUGAGCAAUUACAGUUUCUCAAUUUUGAAGUGCAGCUGGAGCAGUGAAAAAACAUCAGAAUUUCAUACGCGAAAAACUCCUUGCUCAAUAUUUCCUUCUUAUACUGAUGAAAGAAAAGUGAAAUUCGAGAGAAAAGAGAAAGUACCUUUCUUCACCUACACUCUGCGGACAGAUCACAGUUGAGCUGAUAUUUGUCUAUUCAGUAGAGAAUUUCGGCACAACUGACGAAAGAAAGAAAAAAGAUGGUUAAGCUGAGAUCAGAUAAUAAAGUUAAGAUUGUGCUUAGGCUUUUAGAUGUUAAGUUAUGGGAAGACAAGCUUUCUGUCUCGUGUGCGUUUGAACUCUCUCAGUAGAAAUAUCAAAAAUCAAGAGUUAAACAUGUGCAUUACUCUAAAGUCUAAACCAUCUCCUCCUUCCUCAACCCAUGGGAAAAGAAACAAUACGUUUCUUUGAUAAGUUAGAAGAAAAUUAAACCUGGAUGUAGUCCAUUUAAGUGAACAUUUUUAAGCCGGUGAACUUGGUAGAGCAAUUGAAUGUUAAUCAAGGUUGAACUGUACAAUACAUAGAGCUUGUGUCAGCCUCAGCUGUAACAAGUCAAGCUAAUAGAAAAAAAAGAAGGAGAAUACCGCAAAAUUGAAUUCUCAGGACAGUAAAUUGCAACAAACUCAUUAGAUAAGACUACAUCAUAUUUUGAACAGGUUAUGCUGUCAGCUACUACUACUACUACUACUACAAUAUAAGCAUCUCGGCAACUGAAACAUGAGUAAAUCGUUUUUGUUAUCUAACCUUGAAUUUGUUCCGAGUAGGAUACACUUCCUUGCCUUUCCCCUAGUUCUGAGGUCGCACUCGAGGAUGAGUACUAAUGGGAAUAAUUUGACGGAAAUUUCAUAAUCUCCAAAGUUAUCAGCUUACUGUAUAUAUCUUCAGCCAAAUUUCUGAAUAUCCAAAACAAGAAACUGAUGUUUUAACCAUUGUGCUAAAAAUCGAUAUACUGACAAAAGUGAUGUUUUAGCUAUUGUGAUAAAGAACCAUAUCUACCUAUGUAAAUGGUAAAAGAUUUGUAGUACAUUAGCAUUACUUUGUGCUAUCAACCUUCUAGGGAAAAUUAUCAAUUCUAACCUACACUUGGUUUCUUUUACAAUGACUCAGAGCAAGUUUAAAGAUUACAUUAGUUGCAACAUAUCACCUUUUUGUCAUCUAAUAUUUGAAUGAAAAUGCUUCGCUCCACACAGUGGCAAUAGAUGAUCCACACUGUUCAACACUACUAAGAAAAACAAGAAGAAUUAACAAACAAGGAAAUGGAAUGUAAACAGAAAAACGGAGAUAGGAAACAAACUUUGUGUCUUGUAUACCUCUGAAUUCUAUUAGAGCUAUGCAUUUAUGAGUGAGCAUGUGCAUUACUCUAAACCUCCAUUCUCCUUAGUCCAAGCGCUGAAAAACGGAAAGAAGAAGACUACAUGAAGUGCUAUUCAGAUGAAAUUUCAAGCAAUACAAGAACUAAAUAUUUUCAAGUAAGAUUUAUAACAAGAAUACAUGAAUUGCUGUUGAAUUGAAUUUACAAAGACAUUAAACAUCCGGCUGAUAUAUAUGUUCCUGGUAAAAGAUUAUUAGUUCGUUAUAUUACAUUGAGCUAUCAACUUUCCGAAGCAAAUAAUUUCAAUUCCUACAUAUACCAGCUUCUGUUUUAUCACCUUUUUUGAUGUCAUCUAAAAUUAAAUUCAUCCCGAUCCAAAGAUGAUUCCUCAGCUUCACAUUGGCAAUAGACGCUUUGUGCUGCUCAAGGAUUUAACAAAGGAAAAGAAUUAACAAGCAAGAAAAGGGAAGUAAACAAAAACAUAAAUGAAAAAAUAACUUACAAUUUUUUUUAAUCAUUACUGGUAUUCCCAAUCAAUAUCUAUGGUGGGAAUAUGAGCAAUUUUUGGCCAGUAAUCUCCCUUGUCAAAUUGUAGGAGUGGUUUGAGCAAUGGGCAUUUGUAAAUAAAUAGUUUAGAGAUGGAAGGGGGCAUCCCUUUUACUGGAAGUGAUUUGAGAUUAGGGCAAGCCUUAAUGCACAGCUCAGAGAGAGAGGAGGGCAUCCCUGUUACUGGAAGAGAUCGGAGAUUAAGGCAAUUAGAAAUGUUCAGUACAGAGAGGGAGGAGGGCAUUCCCGAUUCAGGAAGGGAUUGGAGAUUAGAGCAAUGUUGGAUGGUUAGCUUAGAGAGGGAAGAGGGCAUCCCUGAUUCGGGAAGAGAUCGGAGAUUAAGGCAAUUAGAAAUGUACAGCACAGAGAGGGAGGAGGGCAUUCCCGAUUCAGGAAGAGAUUGGAGAUUAGGGCAACCCCAAAUCUCUAGACACCGAAGCCACAUGAGACGCUGAAGACCUUCGGUUGGUAGUGAAUGGAGAUUAUGAUGGUGAUGUAAGUGUAGCUCAGAAAGAGAGGAGGGAAGCCCUUCUUCCAGCAGUGACUGAAUUUGAGGUAAAUUAACAGCAUUUAGGCACUCUAGAGAGGUGAGGCUUUUUAGAAGUUGGCUGCUUAAUGUUUUCAGAUUGGAUAUAGUAAGCCUUCGAAUAGAGCAAGGCAACUCCCAUUUUUCACCAGCAAGAACCUCUUCAUCGCUACCAUCAUGGUGGAUGGUGAAAUCUAUGAGACAGGGGAGUCUCUGUAAAUGCCACUCCUUUGGCCAUUCACCAGUUCUGCAAUAGUCGAUCUGAAGGACUUGUAAAUUGAAGGGCAAUCCUCCUUCAGGAAAGGACUCUAUUUCUGGACAACGCCAUAGUUGCAGUUCCUUAAGAGAUGGAAGAAGUUCCUGCAUAUGCUCUGGCAACGACUUCAACAUCUUGCAGUCGUGAAUAUGCAAUGACGUCAUCAUCUGAGACCCACAUGCCACUGAAAGUAUUUCAAGAUUCUCACAAUCUCUAAUACUGACUGUUUCAGUGGCAGUAGGAAUCAAAAGCCUAGUAAGGUUGUUGCAACUUCUUACACUCAAAUUGCGUACUCUUGGGAACAACUCAGGUGAAUCACAUCCUUGUAGAGACAAUUCCUCGAGAAACAUAGCAUUCAUUGAUGCCUCCAAUUUCAGUUCCCCGCAACCAGAGACUUCUAUACUUUUCAUAGUACUCGGCAGAAUACUAAUUGGUAAGGAGGUAAGAGACUUACAAUCAGUAAUUACUAAUUUAACAAUCUGUUUCAUUCCUUCAAGUUGAGAUGUAAACAGUUGAGCAUUCGCAAAAAGAACUCCAACCUUAGGAGAAUAAGCAACUUCAAACUCUUUUAAAUUUGAAAGUUGGAUAGGUGUCUCCAAACUGAGUUCAGGGCAUUUUGAAAUUCUCAAUCUUUUCAGAGAAGAAAGAUUUUCAGGCAAUUUUCCUAUCAACUUUGGGCAAUCUUCAAUUGAAAGUUGCUCGAGUAGAGGGAAUUCUCCCUUCCCCAGUACAUGCCACUGCUUCCACUCCGGCAUCUCUGCGAAUUCAAGCUCCUCAAGGGACUUAAAUGGCUUUGUGAUGGACAAACUACCAUAGAACUCUUCACUCACCUCUGUUAUUUGAUGCAUCCCUCUAAUGUUAAGGAAUUUUAAACAAGGAAGCUGUCCUAGUGCUGGCAAGGAAUCACAGCCCUGGCAGUAGCUAAGAGACAAUUCCAUUAGCUUAUGAAAUGAAUGAUCAGCUAGCCAAUUUGGAAAUUUUGUCCAUCUAUAUCCGUUAAUUUGGAGUACUUUUAUGUUUGUAUUUGGUUGUAGCUCAUCAAGUAUCUCUCUUUCAGUUUGUGAAUUGUCAGCAAAACUUCCGCUCCACUCCAAAGAUAACCUUUCAACAUGUUCCUUUUUCCUCAUGUUUGCCUUCAGAGAUUCCCUUCCAUCUACCAUAUGUUGCAACUCUAGAAUUGAUAGAGAUCCAUACAAGUUAUGUAGCUCACCCAAAUCUUCCAUUCUCGAACCACCGCGACCAGUAAGAAGAAACUUGGCUCCCACUAGCACAUGGAGACUUUUCAACUUGUUCAGAUGUAGGGGUCUCCUCAAAUGAGCUUCGCUAAUUUCAAGGUGACGCAAGUUGAUCAAUUUUUCCAUAUGCAGAGGUAGCUCCUUAAGAUAACUACAAUGUGACAAGAGUAGUGUCUCUAAGUUGUACAGUACACAAAUUGAAUCUGGCAACUUUUUUAUCUUUGUCCAAGAGAGGUCCAAAAAUCUUAGGUGCUUUAAUUUGAUAAACAAGUCAUUUGGCAACUCCUCAUUCUGAUAAUCAGACAAUGAUAGUGCCCUUAGGGAUGUUAGUCUUGGCAAAAUGUCAUGCAGCACCCUCUUGCUUAGACAGUAUAAAUUCUGCUGGAUAUUGAUGGGAAGCAAUGUCCUCAGCUGCUCCAAUUUGUACAAGGGUUUCAACUUUUUAAAGUCACCUUGGCCCAUUGAAUAGGAUAUGUGCCUACUUUGUUCCAACAUAUGAGAUCCUUGGUUCUCUUCCAACCUGAUACACAGAUUUGAAGAUGCAAUUUGGGCCAAAUCAUUGACAAGGUCAUGCAUUAAGAAUUCCCCCGGAUUCCAAACAGAAGACUCUUGGGCCCUUUCAAACAAUGAUCUCGAUCUCAACUCAAGAAAGUAUUGGUUAGCUGAAUGCAACUGCUGUACAAGACCAUUAGCAAUCCACAGGUAAAUAACUUGUUCUUUGCAAAAUAGAUAAUCUUUGGGAUAUAUUGCACAAAAAGCAAAACACCGCUUCAAAUGUGGACGAAGAUCAUUGUAGCUCAACAUCAACGCUGGUAAGAUUCCAUUCGAACAACUUUGCAGCUCCCAUAUUUCACUUCUUAAAAUGCCUCUCCACUCAUCCACCUCUGAUUUGGAGCGUAAAAUACCAGCAAGUGCCUUUAGAGCUAAAGGCAAUCCUUUGCACUUGUGUGCAAUUUGUAUUCCAACCUCUUCAAGUUCUGGAUGUUCCUCAGGAUCCCUAUUUUCAAAUGAAUGCCGCUUGAAUAGAUCCCAAGAGACUUCACUAGACAGAGUUCCCACGUUGAUUGCGCCACAACCCAUCAUCAAGGCAACAUUCUCCUUACGUGUCGUCACAAUGAUCUUACUUCCUACAUCUCCUUGUACAAAAAGAUUUCUCAAGUCAUCCCACUCUUUAUAGUUUUCAUUCCACACAUCAUCUAGGACAAUAAGAAACUUUUUCCCCUUUAAGGCUUCCUUCAAUUUGACUUGAAGUUGAUUCAGAUUGUUAUCAACCUUUAAACCAACUUCUUGAAGUAACUCCUUUGUUAUUCUGAGAAUAUCAUAUGGUUCAGACACACAGAUCCAAGCUUUCAAACCAAAAUGGUUUUUUACUUUCUCAUCAUUGUAAACAGCUUUAGCAAGUGUUGUCUUGCCCACGCCCCCCAUUCCAACAACAGGAACUACCGUCAGAUUCUUUCCAUCCUCAGACAACAAACGGUCAAUCAAUCCCUCUAUUUCGUUCUGCCUACCUAAGAUAUCUGAUUCAUCAACAACAGAAGUUGAAGAUUCCCUUGUUUCUUGUUUACCCGAAUCAAGAUACUUUGUUAGAUCAAGGCGACCAAUUUGCUUUUCCAACUCCUCCAAUGUUUCAAUGGUGUCUUCCAACUUCUCCUUUAUGUUAAGAAAGAAAUCAUCACUCAAGCUCAGGUUAAGGUCACUUACUUGCUGGUUGCUUGUUUCUGCAAGAUUUUGAUGCUGACCUUCCACCUUUAGUCUCAAAACCUCAUAAUUGACUUCUUCUAUUAAGUUUUCAGCACCGUCCACAGCAUCUUGAAGCUCAUUAAGCCACUGGCUCACGUAUGGAUUUGAUGUUUGCUUGAUCUCUGCAUCACUUAAAACAGCCUGAAGACCAAGCAAAGUCAUCCUCAGCUUCUUUAAGAGCCGAACAUCACACUUGUCCCUCUUAAACAUCUUCAGCAGAUCACCGUUAGGAGCAAGCCUAUCAAAGAGAACAUUCAAAGCUGAAGAGAGAAAUGCACCACCAACUGCUAAGCCAACCUCCAUUUCUGAAAUCUGCAAAGCAAAAUAGGAAACCACAAAAUGAUUAUAAGAAUUUGGAGAAGAUUAUUGUCCUGUUUCUUUACUAAGAGCUUUAUUUUACCUGUUGAAUGAUAAGAGUAAUUUGCAACUAUGAAUGAUCACUGAUUUCUCUCUCUCUUGCUAGGGGUUUUACUUGUAAUUGGUACAACUAUGUCUGCUACUAUUAACUAUUGUCCUUUUUUUCUCUUUUCCAAAAGUAUUACUUUUCACCCAACAAGAUGACAAAGACUAGUCAUUACUCUCUCAAUGCCUUUAAUAAUUGAAGCAAGAGAGGAUAAGAAAGGGGUCGUUUGGUGUGAUGGAUAAAACUAGUUAAUUGAGGAUUUUUUUUAGUCCCCUUUAGGGAACGUUUGGUUUGAAGACAAGUUAUGUUAGGAUUAGUUAUCAUGUGAUAAGUUAUGAAAGGAUUAGUUCUGUUGAUUUAUUGGUUUGUCAUAGUCAAAUGAUAUGCAUGGCAUAAUUUUUAAGAAUAAGGGGUCGUUUGGUGUGAUGGAUAAAAGGAAUUAAUCCCGAAAUAAUUUUUGAGUGCCCUUUAAUUCGUUGUUUGGUUGCAAAGGCUGAAAUAACUUAUCCCAAGAUUAAUGGUUAGUCUUGGGAUAAUUUAUCCCUCUCUGAGGUGGAAUAGUAAUCCAACAAUAACUUAUCCUGGUAUAAAGUAUGUAAAAUAACAAAAAUACCUCCCUUAAACUCUCUUUUAUACACCACUUUACAUUCAUGUAUAUUAACAUAAUUUUUAAUAAUAUUUAUGAUAAUAUUCACAACCUUAAUUAUUCAUUGUUUUUAUGAUAUUAUAUUUUUCUAUUAAAAAAUUGCAUUUUAUAAAUAUAAUUUUUAUUAUGAAUACAUUAUAAGUUGAACUUAUUUGCCUAAUUCUUAUGUUUAUUUAUAUUUUGAUUUCUCUUAAAAUGUUCAAUCCACUACUAAAUUACAUAUUUUUAAUUAUGCUUCUGAAACACCUUGAACAGCUCACCGUUAGGAGCAAGCCUAUCUCCAUUUCUGAAACCUGAAAAACAAAACAAAGAAUCACAAAAUGGUUUAAUAUUUCUACUAGUAAUAGAUUUAAUUUACCUGUUGAAUGCUAGAGCAAUAUGCAAACAAUAUACUGACUGUCUGCUAAUUAAUUUGCAAUUGUUAUACCAAUUUGGAGAAUGACUUUUCUCUCUUAGCUGUGUCCUUCUUUACUUUGAGGCAUAUAUAUUAAAAAACUAAAAAUAACAGAACUUGUUAUAUUUUAAUUGAAUCAAACUUGUAACUUUUGGUUUGAUUAUCAAAUUCCAUACCAUAAUAAUAAAUUAUUGGUGGACACUACCAUUAUAUAAAGGCGAAUGAGUAAAUUAUAAGUAGUGGUUGUAACAAAUUGUUUUUUAAAUAAUUUUUCAUAGAAGAUGCCUUUUUUGAAGUUGAAAUCUAACCACUACAUUGUCUUGUUUUCAACACUUCAAUUUAUUUUUUUAAAAGUCAUUUGAUUUAAUUCAAAGACUACACUAAUCUCCUAUUAAUUUAAUUCAACGACCUUCAUACGAUUGGUCUCUUCAAUCAACUAGCAUUAGCUUUAUAAAAUGACCAGAAACUUCCUACUAAUUGUUUUCUUUGAGUUGGUUUUUUUUUCUUGAAAUUAAUGUGUUUUAAAAGUGUUCCUUUUAUAAUUUUCUCUUUAUUUGAUGAAAUCAAAUACUAUGAAAAGAUAGCCCAAGCAGAAAGGCACCCUCUUUUGCUCUAGCAAAUAAAUUCAAUUUUAAAUAGUCUUGUGUAUCAUAGGUUGCCACAAUAUAUUCAACUUUUCGGGACAAGUUCAGACGGAUUUUAUGUCUUUUACCUGUUAAGUAUUUUGUUUUCUUCUAUAACAUAAAAAGUCAAGAGGAAAUGACUUCUUGCAUAUUUCUUUUAUCAAUAACCACCAAAUAAGAUCUAAACGUCAAAUAUUAUUAAGGUGUGUAACAAUAGCAAUCAUUCAUUAUAGCAGCCCAAAAGAUGUCCGUCAUUGUAAAGAAGUCCAACUGUGUCUUUCGUAAUUAUACUAAACUAACUUCACUUGUAAUCUCAAUCCUGAACAUUCUCAAGGACAACAUAGCAAUAUUUGCUGCUUCAACUCAACUAAGAUCAUAUACAUAACUUGAUAAACAAACAAAGAGAAGUCUUGAAAAUUAUUUGGAGAAUCACUUACCAAUGAUCUUGCUCGCUAUAUAUAAGUUCACUAUCGAAUCAUACAUUGUGUUUGAGCAAUCUCUGGCCACUCCUCCAUCAAUAUGCAAUUUGAGCAUCACUCUCGGCUAUAUUAAAAAUAGACCUUUUAAAUAUCAGUUCUGAAAAUUAUUUGAAAGCACAACUAUAGAAUGAAAAGGAUAACAUUGGGUAGAGAUUCCAUGAAACAAAAAAGAUGAAUUUAUAUAGAUAUUUAUGGAGGAAUACCAAACGAUAUCUUAAAGUUCUAAAUUUAAUAUGUGGAGGUUAUGAAUAUAAAAAAACAUGAGAGUUAUGAAAAUUAAUUCCAAAAAUAAAGCAAAUAAAGGAGUAGCAAUUGAAAAGGUAAUUAGAUAAGAGUCAUGAAAGAGAAUAUAUAAAGCAAAUAAAGGAGAAAAAUAAAUAAAUGAAGGAGGAAAAAAGAAUAGUGCAAUUGAUAUUUAAGUGUGACCAUAGAAAAAAAUCAAAUUAUAAUUAAAUAUUAAUAUUAUAUAUAUAAUUGUUUGCGGGAAAGGAUCCAUCAAACGACAUUUAUAUAACCAAUUCAAUGAUAACCACAAAACAGAUUAAUAAGAAAAAAAAUGCCCAAAUCCAUAAAUUGAGAUUGAGUUACAAUUGACCUUUAAGAAUAUUUGCACCACUUUUAAUAUAAUAUGAUGAUAUGAUAUGAUGAUUACAGUGUUCCCAUCCGAAUAUAAAUAUUUUUUCACCUUCUUUUUUGUAAUCAAACAUUAAAUUCAUCCUGAUCUGAAGAUGAUUCCUCGGCUUCACAGUGCAACAGACGCUACACACUGCACAAAACAAUAUAACAAAGGAAAAGAAUCAACAAACAAGCAAAGAGAAGUAACGAAAAAUAAAAAGCUGCUGAGAUAAAAAAGAGUUCUUACAUCUGUCAGAGUACCAUUUGUUUUUAUCAUCACAGGUAUUCCCUAUUGAUCUGUAUAGUUGAAAUAUGAGCAAUAUUUGGCCAGUAUUCCCCCUUCAUAAAUUCUAGACGUGGAUUGAGCAAUGGACAGUCUGAAAUAUAUAGCUUAGAGAGGGCAGAGGGCAUCCCUUUUACUGGAAGAGUCAACUUCACUAGCUUAAGAAAGGAAUGAUCAGCCAACCAGUUCGGAAAUUUUGUACCUCUAUAUCCAGAGAUUUCCAGUUCUUUUAUGUUUGUGUUUGGUUGUAGUUCAUCGAGUAUGCCUCUUUCAGUUUGUGAAUUAUCAGCAAUACUUCUACCCCACGACAAUGAUAACCUCUCAAUAUGCUCCUUUUCCCUCAUGUUCGCCUUCAGAGCUUCCCUUCUAUCAAUUACAUUUUGCAACUCUUUAAUUGAUAGAGAUCCAUACAAGUUGCAGAGUUCACCCAAAUCUUUGAGUUUCAAACCACUUGGAAGACAUGUAACUCCUAAUAGCACCUGGAGGUUUUUCAACUUGCUAGGAUGUAGCGGCAUCUUCAACCGAGAACACCUCCUAAUGUCAAGGUAAUGCAAGUUGAUCAAAUUUCCCAUCUGCAGCGGUAACUCCUCAAGAUAAUCACAAGACGACACAAUAAGUGUCUCUAAGUUGUACAACACACAAAUUGAAUCUGGUAACUGUUUUAUAUCUGUCCAAGAAAGGUCCAAAAAUCUUAGGAGUUUUAAUUUGAUAAAUAAGUCAUUUGCUAACUCCUUGAUGUUAUAACGAGACAAUGACAAUGCCCUUAAGAAUGUUAGUCUUGGAAGUAUGUUAUGCAGCACCCUCUUGCUUAGAUUAACUGAAAACAAAUGGAGCUGGAUAUUUAUCGGAAGCAAUGUCCUUAAUUGCUCCAAUUUGUAGAGGGUUUUCAGUUUACCAAAACCACCCCUUGAUGAAUAUGACGAAAAGUUACCAUCACCCAUGGAAUACGACAAGUGUCGAGUUCGUUCCAACAUAUGAUAACCUUCGAUGUCUUCCAACCUGGUACAGCGUUUUGAAGAUGUAAUUUGGGCAAGAUCAUUGACAAGGUCAUGCAUAAAGAAUUUCUCACCAUCCAUUUCAGAAUAUCUGGACAAGUUCAGGCCUACGAACGUCCCUUCCUUCCAUUUAAAAGAAUCAGGGACCCUGUCUAACAAUGAUCUUGAUCUCAUCUCGAGAAUGUACUGGUUGCCUAGUUCUUCAACCGUUUCAUCUUUUUGCAACUUCUGUAUUUGCAACUUCUGUACUAGACCAUUAGCGAUCCACAGUUGAAUGACUUGUUCUUUGUAAAAUUGAUAAUCUUUUGGAAAUAUUGCGCAAUAGGAAAAGCAUCGCUUCAAAUGUGGGGGAAGCUCAUUGUAGCUCAACAUCAAUGCUGGUAAGAUUCCAUUGUCUGGAAGCUCCCAUAUUUCACUUCUCAAAAUGCGUUUCCACUCUUCAAUCGUUGAUUUUGAGCGUAACUUCCCAGCAAGGAUCUUUAUAGCUAAAGGCAAUCCUUUGCAUUUCUCUGCAAUUUUCUUUCCAAUCUCUUCAAGUUCUAGAUGUUCCUCAGCAUCCCUGUUUUCUAAUGAAUGUCGUUUGAAAAAAGCCCAAGAGACUUCAUUAGACAGAAUCCCCACAUNNNNNNNNNNNNNNNNNNNNNNNNNNNNNNNNNNNNNNNNNNNNNNNNNNNNNNNNNNNNNNNNNNNNNNNNNNNNNNNNNNNNNNNNNNNNNNNNNNNNAAAUUCAUCCUGAUCUGAAGAUGAUUCCUCGGCUUCAUGGUGCAACAGACGCUACACACUGCACAAAACAAUAUAACAAAGGAAAAAAAUCAACAAACAAGCAAAGAGAAGUAAUGAACAAUAAAAAGCUACUGAGAUAAAAAAGAGUUCUUACAUCUGUCAGAGUACCAUUUGUUUUGAUCAUCACAGGCAUUCCCCAUUGAUCUCUAUAGUGGAAAUAUGAGCAAUAUUUGGCCAGUAUUCCCCCUUCAUAAAUUCUAGACAUGGACUGAGCAAUGGGCAGUGUGUAAUAGAUAGUUUAGAGAGGGCAGAGGGCAUCCCUUUUUCUGGAAGGUGUUGGAGUUUAGGACAAGAAUGGAUGGUCAGCUUAGAGAGGGAGGAGGGAAGCGCUGAUUCUGGAAGAGAUUGGAGUUGAACGCAGGAGCUAAUCUCUAGACGCCUAAGAGAAGUGAGGCCCUGAAGACCUUCAGUUGACAGUGAAUGGAGCUCAUCAUGGUGUCUUAAUUUUAGUGAAGAAAGAGACAAGGGAAGCCCUUCUUCGAUCAGUGACUGGAUUUGAGGUAAAUUAGCAAUGGAUAGAGAUUCAAGAGAGGUGAGGCUUUUGAGAAGUUGGCUGCUUAAUGUUUUCAUAUUGGAUAUGCAAAGCGAUUUAAUUGAGCAAGGCAACUCCCAAUCAAUCUCUUCGUCAGUAGAAUGAUGGAAGAUUUUAAGUUCUCUGAGGCAAGGGAGUCUCUGUAAAUGCCACUCCUUUCGAUCAUUCUCCAGUUUCUCACAAUUCCAGAUCUGAAGGACUUCUAGACUGAAAGGCAAGCCUCCUUCAGGGAAGGACUUUAUUUCUGGACAAUCAUACAGGUUGAGAUAAUUAAGAGAUGGAAGAAGUUCCUGCAUAUGUUUUGGCAGCGACUUCAGCUUCUUGCAGCUGUGAAUAUGCAAAUUUCGCAACGUUGGAGUCCUGGAUGCCACCAAAAGCAUUUCAAGAUUUUCACAUCCAGAAAUAUGGAGAUCUUCAGUCCCAGUAGGAAUCAAAAGCCUAGUAAGGCUGUGGCACCUAUUUACACUCAAAUAGUGUGCUCUUGGGACCAGCUCAGGUGAUAUCUCAUUCAUAGAAUUACAUUCAGUUAGUACCAGACUCUUGAGAAACAUCUCACUAGCUGACGGCUCCAAUUUCAAUUGAUCACAAUCAGAUAUCUCUAUUUUCUUCAAGGUUUUCGGCAGACUGCUAAUAUGAAAGGAGGUAAGAGAGUGACAACUUCUGAUAAUUAAUGACUCUAGCUGCGUCAUUCCUUGAAGUUGGGAUGCAAAUAGCUCAGCGUGAUCAAAAAGAACCCCAACCUUUAAAGAACCGAAAACUUUAAACCAUUUUAGACUUGAAAGUUGGAUAGGUGUCUCCAAAAUAAAUUCCGGACAAUUUGAAAUUGUCAAUCCUGUCAAAGAACAAAGAUUUCCAGGCAAUUUCCCCAUCAACUUGGGACAGUUGUUAAUUGAAAGGAUCUGAAGUGCAGGGAACUCUCCACUUCCUAGUACGUGCCAUUGCUUCCACCCGUUCAUCCAAUUAAAUUCAAGCCAUUCCAGAGAGUUAAAUGGCUUUAUUGAAGAUGGGCUACCAUAGAAUUCUUCGGUCACCUCUGUUAUUCGAUCCAUAUACUCAAUGGUGAGGGAUUUCAAAGAAGGAAGUUGUCCUAGUGCUGGCAAGGAAUCACAGUUGUUGCAGUGGCUAAGAGACAACAUCACUAGCUUAAGAAAGGAAAGAUCAGCCAGCCAGUUUGGAAAUUUUGUCCCUCUAUAUCCAGAGAUUUCCAGUUCUUUUAUGUUUGUGUUUGGUUGUAGUUCAUCGAAUAUGUCUCUUUCAGUUUGUGAAUUGUCAGCAAUACUUUUACCCCACGACAAUGAUAACCUCUCAAUAUCCUAGGUGCUUGUUUCAGGCCAUAAAGGGAUUUGUGCAGUCUACACACUUUAUCAUUCCCCCUAUGGCUGCCAAACCCUUGAGGAAUCUGCAUGUAUACUUCUUCAAAGAGAUCACCUUGGAGGAAUGCAUUAUGCACAUCCAUUUGAUAGAUAAACCACCUCUUAGCUGCAGCAAUGGCCACAACAGACCUGACAGUCACCAUCUUAGCAACAGGAGAAAAAGUCUUUGUGUAGUCUAGCCCUUCUUUCUGACUAAAACCUUUAGCUACCAGCCUUGCCUUAUACCUUUCAACCUCCCCAUUAGCUUUGUGCUUGAUUUUGUACACCCACUUACACCCGAUUGGAGACUUGCCUAAAGGAAGAUCAACUAUACUCCAUGUGUGAUUAUCUAGCAGAGCAUCAAUCUCAGACUGCAUGGCAGCAAUCCAUUUAGGAUCUGUAGCAUCUUCAGAGUAGGAAGUGGGCUCCAAAACAGCUGAGAAAACUGCCAAUGCUGAGCUGUAAGAAGGAGAGAUAUGAGCAUAGGACACAUAAUUGGAUAUAGGAAAAACACAGGAUGCCUUUGUUCUUGUGGGAGCAAUAUAGUCUUUCAUCCAGAUGGGAGGUUUGGGAGUUCUACAGGACUUUCUAACUGGUUCAACAGAUGGAGACACUAGCAUAGGAGCAACUUCAGUUGAUGAGGUGAACUCAGAUACAUCAGGUAGGGAAGAGUCAAUUAUAUCAGCCCUUAGAGAGGAAUCAUGAUCAGGAGAAACAUAUAUAGGAUCAGCUGGACAGUACUGAGGAGAACAUUGUUGACACCUAAUUUUGACCCUCCCCGAUAAUAACUAAUUUCGAGCUUCUUAAUUUUCAAAUGAUCUAAAGUAAUUAAUUUUAGAAAUUUCGAAUAAAUAAAUAAAUAAAUAAAUAAGAAUAAUUUGCAAGUUGUUUCAAAUAGUUUGUCACUUGUUAUAAUUUUUAAAUAAUAAUAUGUCUUUUAUAUAAUUAUGUAUAUAAUUAGUGUAUUUUAUAAAUAUUCGAAAAUCGUCUCAAAAGGAUUUUGUUUUAAUUGAAUAUUUGGUUGACUAGUUUAGUUAUAUAAUAGUUUAUAUUUUUGAAAUAGUUAGUUUAUAUCUAAGUUAAUUAUUUUAUUUCGUGGAAAUUGAGAAGCUCUUUAAUUAACUUGUAUUAAUUUGUCUUAUUUAAUUGCUAGCUAAAAUUCAAUUUAACUAAAAUUUUGAAUUCAUUUGGCCAUCAUUGUAAUCAAAUGGGCCAAUUUCUUUUUUCAGCAGACCCAACCCAUAAAACAAUUCUAAUACCCAAUGCCAAUUAAUCCCUAGCCCACUUUUAAAUUUCCCAAUCAACCCAUCCCUUAUACUCUAUUCCACCAGCAGCCCACACUCAUUUACCUGACCCGGCCCACUUUUAUGUUCACAGAACAAGACCAAGAAGCAGCAACUCACAAGAGACAAUCACAACGUCAAUCCCAAAUAGACGGAAGCAGCAUCAACACAUGCCAGAACGACAACAACGGCUCCGAACGACACCUUUUCCGUCAAGAUACACAACGUCAAAUCCCUUUGUCGUCUUCCCCUGUGUCCCUCUCAAGUCGUACAUCGCGAGCAGAGGAGCAGGGCAUGCGUCUGGCUCCCUUUCCUCUUCCGGAACGGGUCAAAUUUCGAAGAAAAAGGUGUUUAUCCUAAUUGGUGAAAGGUUUUGGGAGUUUGAUUUUUGAAUUAGGCGUUUUCUAUCCAGAUUUCACUCGUUUUUCCCUCCAUUCAAUCUACCCUAAUUUCCCCUAUAUAUAGAUUCUCUUUCUAUCUCGCCAGGGGGGGAAGAUUUUUGAUUUUUUUUGAGAAAGUAGAGGGGAUUUUUUUUGGGGAGUUGAAAAUUUUAUGUUGAAGAAAAUAUUGGGAGAAGCUUGGAAAAACAGAAGGGAAGAAAGUUUCAAAAAAAAUAAAAUAAAAAUAAAAUAUAAAUACAAGAAUACAUACAAGGAACAAUCAGUAGUUAUACUCAAGCGAGAAUCGAUAAAAGGCUUUUCUUUUGUGCUCGCCAUUGAAAAAACUUGUCGGAAUCUCGUUGUAGUAGUGAAGUUGCCGUCCCUCUGCUCGCUCUGUCUCGGUGCCGCUGCCCUCGAAAAGGUGAUACUCAUUUUGAUUUAUGUCUCCUUUAUUUUAACGUGGCGACUGUUUGGAUCUCGGACUGCAUAUAGUGUUCGAAAUGUUAAAGUUUGAGAGUAUGAUUUACUCAUCGUCGACUGUAAAUCAAUAUUGCAACUCGUUCUUAUUCGUUUUGUUGUGGUUUGUUUAGUCUGCCUUGAAGGGUUGAGGAUUCCAUUUAUUCGUGAUUCCUUUUCUCUUUAUUGACUGUCUCAUUUGGAUGGUUGAGAUAGUUGGAGAUUCAGUUGUGAAGUUCGAAGUCACCUUCUAUAAGUGAUUUCGGCUUUCGUAAUCUGAUACACAAUUUGAUCCCAUCUUCUGCUCAUUCCGAUUUAAUGCAGAUCUAUGGGUUGUUUAGCUCCCUUUUCAUGCCUGCUUAUAAAUGAUUUUUUUUUCAUACAUGAAGCUUGCCAACUAACGCAGCUUGUUUGCAUUUCCCUUUUAUUUUUUUUUAGUUAGUUACUCUAGUUUUAUUAACUUUUCUUUACUUCGUGUUUCCGUGAGCAUGAUCAUUAGCUUAUUUGGCAUGUCUAUUAUUUGAUUUAGGUCGAGUAUACCAUCUUUACUGUCUAAGAUUCUUAUGAGUUCCGUGCCUAUCGUUAAUCAGUUCCAACAGAUUGCGAGAAUAUGUAAGCCUUAGUGUAUAGUGGUUCGCACAUCCCACCCUUUCCCUCGUUUUUUUUUAGCUUUCUAUCGUGGUCGGCUUUGUCUAAGUUCAUUACUAUAUGUUAUUAUGAGUUCCCUGUUGUGCUCACAUGUUGACCAUCCUGUUUCGUUUAGUUUAAUUCAUAAGAUAAUAUAUCUCGUUGAUUUUAGUGUUAUAUGAUUCUUUUAGCCAAAUUUUGUUUUGUCUGGUCUUUUCCCUCGUUUUUCUCUACUGUCAAAUUGCCGUGUGGAGAUACUAUAUUCAAAUCCAAAUGUGCCUGUUUGUUGAUUAAGGUGUGGUGACCCCUUUAUUUGUAAACUAUAUGUUGCCAACUAUUCACUAUUUUAUUUAAUUUUAAUGGAUCAGUUUUGCUUUGCUAAAAAUGUGUUAGCUGGUUUUCCCUUGGAUACAUUAUUGUUCUCCCUAAAUUGGUAAAUCUUGUUAUCGAUUGGAACCAUGGUUUUGUAAUGUCAUUUUUGAAUACUAAUCCUUAUAAUUAUUUUUUAUGCAUGUGAAAUCUACCCGAGUUCGCCAUGAACUCACUCCGUUCCCUUGCAUUUCGGAGAGCCAUUAAAGGCUUAAAUUCCCUUUCCGAGUCAGAUCCCCCAAAAAUUUGGUGAACAGGGUUCGGAGCAGAUAUACAAGAGCGUAUACACUAAUAUACAUCUAGUGUACACGAAAGAGAGAAAAUGGGCUUAAAGAGGCCACUAAUCUUUAAAAAUUUGUAUUUUGUUAUUUAUUGGGCCUAAGCCCAUUUAAUUGUUAUUCUUAUUUUUGUUAGAAGUUUAGGACAGGUGAAAAAUUGGGCCUAAGGCCCAAAGAAAUGUCUUAUAUAUAUUAGUUUAGGACAGGUGCAGAUAACUCAAAAAAUUGGGCUAAAAGCCCCAAAACGAAAAUGGGCUCAAGUGCUGGCCCAGGCGAACAGAAACCAGACUUGGGCCUUCAAGCCUCUUUCCCUCUUUAUCUUUUUGUGUUUGUUUUGUUUGCUAAAAUCCGUUACUAAUUUUAAGGUUAAAAAAUUCAAAUCCCCGGAAGACGCUUAUUUCGUUUUAACAAUUUUACUAAAUCGAUCACCUUUAAAAGGACUUAAAGAAUUUUUGCAAGGAAAAUAUCUCACUUAGUCAAUCCUUUCCUUUUCCCCUUUUAAAAAUAAAAUAAAAUGGACUUAAUUAUAAAAUAGCAUUAUGUUUCAAGUCAAGUUAAGUUAAUUCACUUGUAGCCAAAUAAAUUAAUUGUCGGAUAACCGCAUGUUAGCGGGCAUUUUGGAUGCUUUCAAACCCUUCCCGAAAUGCUAAUAAGAACCCCCGAACCCCUUUAAGUUUUCAUUAGACUUCUGUUUUAGUCUUUUGAAAACAAUAGUUUUCUUGAUUUUUCUUUAAAAUUAAGUGGCGACUCUUAAACCAGUCUUAAAUAUAUUUUUGAAUAAAACAAACAUAAAGGGGCAGAAAAUAGAGGAGAAAAUGAAUUGGACAAGUGUUUGAAAGGAAAGAUGUCUUCCUUAAACACUACAUCUCGACUAGUAGUAAAUGUUUUUUCCUGAAGGAGAUACAUCUUGUAGCCUUUUUGAGUUAAGGAGUAACCAAGGAAAACAGCUGGAACAGCCCGAGGGUGGAACAGCCCUAGGUGCAAAUUUAUCAGACUUCUUCAAGGAAGUAACAUAACCUAGACAACCAAAGACCUUCAAGUGAGAUAAAUCUGGUGAGUUCUUAGAGAGAACCUCAACUGGUACUUUACCAUGAAGAGUAUGAGAAGGCAACCUGUUGAUCAAGUACACUGCAGUAGCCACACAAUCUCCCCAAAACCUGAGAGGAACACUGGCUUGAAAUCUGAUGGCUCGAGCAGUGUCUAAAAUAUACCUAUGUCUUCUCUCAACAACUCCAUUCUGUUGAGGAGUAUAGACACAAGAACUCUGAUGCAAUAUCCCUAAGGAUCGAAGCAAGCUGGAAACUUGAAGAGUUAAAAAACUCACAACCAUUGUCAGUGCGCAAAAUCUUAAUGACCGCAGAGUGGACAUUUUUUAGCAUUAACAAGAAAUCAGUCAAGGCAACUAUAACUUCUGACUUGGAAUUUAACAGAAAUAUCCAGGUAUACCUAGAAUAAUCAUCCACCAAGGUUAAAAAAUACUUCUUCCCAUCAUAAGUAGGUACCCUAUAGGGACCCCAUACAUCACCAUGAAUAAUAUGAAAGCAAGCAGCAGACUGUGAAGUACUCAGAGGAAAAGGAAUUCUUGUUUGCUUAGCCAAAGGGCACACAGUACAAUGUUUGUGAUCAAAAUUUACGUUGUCAACAUAGCAAUUCAAAUUUGUCAACUUCUUCAAAGUAUUUAAAGGAGCAUGGCCCAAUCUUCUGUGCCAUAGAUCUAUGUCUGUUUUAUUCUUAGACUUCUCUACUAAGAUAGAGUGACACCUAGUCUUGAUGUACUCAGGCUUGCCAUGUCCUGCAUUCAGGCAAGAAGAAUCCACCACAUACAAACCUUGAACAUGUUUACCAGUCCCCUUCACCUUUCCACUGAAGAGAUCCUGAAAAGUACAGAAAUCAGGAUAGAAAUGAACUGAGCAGUUCAAUUCCUUGGUAAGUUUUGACACAGAAAGCAAGUUAUGUUGAAACUCAGGUAUAUACAUCACAUUAUGUAUGUCGUGGCUUCCCAAAACUAUAGAGGAACCUAAGUGACUCACUUUAGCUGUGUUUCCAGUAGGUAGCAUAACAUUGCCUUUGCUUGUAUUAAGAAGAGAUCUAGUGUUGGAUAGUAGACUAGGAUCACUAACCAUAUGAUUGGUUGCUCCUGUGUCUACUAUCCAUUGGUUAGAGGGAUUAACCAUACCUGCAGAUAGAGCAGUACCACUCAUCUCACUGUUUUGUCCAAUCAUCUGCAAAAUUUGAUUUUAUUGCUCAGGAGUAAAGUGUGGAGCACUAGGAUGAGAGAUCUGAGAAGAUCUAGACUGCUGUACAUAAGCACAUGUAGGAUUGGAGGAAGUUGCACCCAAAGCAUUACUAGAGCUACCUGAAUAACCAUCCAUAUCUGAUGAAGUAUCAUGUUCACUAGCAAAGUUGACAGCAUUUCCAUGUCCUGAUGAUGCAGCUGAGUGUGAGUUAAACUUCUUCUUUGAGUUUAGUCUAAAAUCUGGAGGAUAUCCAUGCAGCUGGUAGCAUCGAUCGCUAGUAUGACCAGUGUAGUGACAGUAAUCACACUGUAGAUGACUAUUUUUUCUGUUUUUAGAGCCAGAGCUUGAGGCAUUGCCUGAAUUGCCUGACCCAGAGUUAGAACUUGUAUAGUAACCAGACCUAGUGUUCCCAGUAUGACCUUGACUAGAAGUUGGCCUAAAUUGGACUCCUCCUCCUCCGAGAUUAGGCUUAAAAUUUCCUUUGCUUGUAUAGAAAACAGCUCCUUCAUUAAUAUCAAGGUUUUGGACUGAUUUUCCAAGAGACCUUUGGCUCUCCUCUGAGAUCACCAUAGAAUAAGCUUGAUUGAUAGAGGGAGUAGGAGUCAUCAUAAGAAUUUGACUCCUACUGGGGGCAUAUGACUCAUUUAGACCAGUGAGAAACUGAAGUAAACGUUGAUAAUCAAAAUGUUGCAUGUAAUUCCUAGAUUCAGGGCAGUUACAGCCUGGGCAGGGCAUUAUGGCAUCGAAUUCAUCCCAGUAUUCACGCAAUCUAGAGAAGUAAUUGGAAACAGUGAGUGUACCUUGUGACAUAGAGUGAAUCUCCUUGUGCAGAAAAUGAAUUCGAGAUCCAUCAACCUUAUCGAACCUUUCAUUUAGGUCACUCCAAACUUUUGAUGCAUAAAUCACACUGCUCAAGAGCUCUUUCCUGAUUGAAUUGAUGAUCCAUGAGAGAACAAUGGCAUUACACUUUUCCCAUAGAUCAUGAAGAGAAGAAGGACAUGUGUCUCUGGUAUGCUUCCCAUCAACAAAACCAAGCUUACUUUUUCCCAGUAAAGCAAGGCGCAUAGAUCUACUCCAGAUGGCAUAGUUUUCAGGACCAGUGAGCUGAAUUGAAACCAAAGAGCUUCCUGAGGUAUCUGAUGGAUGCAGAUACAGGGGAUGAUAAUGAUCAAUCUCGAUUGAAUGAGGUGGGACAACUGCUGCAUCAUUGGACUCAUCAAUCGCCAUGGAUUAUAGAUCGAAGCUCUAAAAGGAACAGUAAUAAGCAAAUCAACAAAAAAUCACUACAAAGAUGAACAACUACAAGUUGAUAAAACCACAAAUUGAUGAUGAACUCCUGCUCGAACACUCAGGCUCUGAUACCAUGUAAACUUAUGGAGUAAUCACCAUCUAGAAGAUGCAAAAAGGAUCAGGAAGUAAGAAGAUACAGAGAGAAUUAUAGAAGAAAGAGAACUAAUUCUCAUUAAGCUGAAAGCAUCUUAAAAAUAUCUUUACAAUGCUAUGUCUAUAUAAAGGAAAGUUACUGUGCUAACUAACUCUAACAACUUUCUAACCUUCUAACUGAUUCUAGAAUAAUUAUCUUGUGAACUGCUCUAAUCCUAGCUGUCAUAAAUCUAACCAACAGCUUUCGAAUAGAGCAAGGCAACUCCCAAUGAAUCCCUUCAUCAGAACCAUCAUGGAGGAUGUGAAGUUUUCUGAGACAAGGGAGUCUCUGUAAAUGCCACUCCUUUCGAUCAUUCUCCAGUUUAUCGCAAAAUUCGAUCUCAAGGAAUUCUAGACUGAAGGGCAACCCUCCUUCAGGGAAGGACUUUAUUUCUGGACAAGAUUGCAGGAAGAGAUGACUAAGAGAUGGAAGAAGUUUUUGCAUAUGUUCUGGCAGCGACUUCAGCUUCUCACAGCGGUGAAUUUUCAUUUUUCGCAACAACGUUGGAGUCCUGGAUGCCACCAAAAGUAUUUCAAGACUUUCACAUUCAGAAAUACGGAGAUCUUCAGUCCCAGUAGGAAUCAAAAGCCUAGUGAGGCUAUGGCACCUAUUUACACUCAAAUAGUGUGCUCUUGGGACCAACUCAGGUGAUAUAUCAUUUAUAGAAUUACAUCCACUUAGUUCCAGUCUCUCGAGAAACAUCUCACUAGCUGACGGCUCCAAUUUCAAUUUCUGACAAUAAUCUAUUUUUAUUUUCUUCAAGGUUUUCGACAGACUGCUAAUAUGCAAGGAGGUAAGACCGUAACACCAACUGAUAAUUAAUGACUCUAGCUGCAUCAUUCCUUGAAGUUGGGAUGCAAAUAGCUCAGCAUGAUCAAAAAGAACUCCAACCUUUAAAGAACCAGCAACUUUAAACCUUUUUAGAUUUGAAAGUUGGAUAGGUGUCUCCAAAAUGAAUUUCGGACAAUCUGAAAUUGACAAUCCGGUCAAAGAACAAAGAUUUCCAGGCAACUUCCCCAUCAACUUGGGACAGCCUUCAAUUGAAAGGUUCUGAAGUGCAGGGAACUCUCCUCUUCCUAGUACAUGCCAUUGCUUCCACCCGUUCAUCCGAUUAAAUCCAAGCAAUUCCAGAGAGUUAAAUGGCUUUAUUGAAGAUGGGCUACCAUAGAAUUCUUCGGUCACCUCUGUUAUUCGAUCUAUAUACCCAAUGGUGAGGACUUUCAAAGAUGGAAGUUGUCCUAGUGCUGGCAAGGAAUCACAGUUGUUGCAGUGGCUAAGAGACAACGUCUCCAGCUUAAGAUAGGAAUAAUCAGCCAGCCAGUUCGAAAAUUUUGUCCCUCUAUAUCCAGAGAUUUCCAGGUCUUGUAUGUUUGUGUUUGGUUGUAGUUCAUCGAGUAUGUCUCUUUCAGUUUGUGAAUUCUCAGCAAUACUUAUACCCCACGACAAUGAUAACCUCUUAAUAUGUUCCUUUUCCCUCAUGUUUGCCUUCAGAGCUUCCCUUCUAUCAACCACAUUUCGCAACUCUACAAUUGAUAGAGAUCCAUACAAGUUGCAUUGUUCACCCAAAUCUUUGAGUUUCAAACCACUUGGAAGACAUGUAACUCCUAAUAGCACCUGGAGGCUUUUCAACUUGCUAGGAUGUAGCGGCAUCUUCAACCGAGAACAGUGCCUAAUGUCAAGGUAACGCAAGUUGAUCAAAUUUCCCAUCUGCAGCGGUAACUCCUCAAGAUCAAAACAAGACGACACGAUAAGUGUCUCUAAGUUGUACAACACACAAAUUGAAUCUGGUAACUGUUUUAUAUGUGUCCAAGAAAGGUCCAAAAAUCUUAGGAGUUUUAAUUUGAUAAAUAAGUCAUUCGGUACAUCCUUGAUGUAAUAACCAGAAAAUGACAAUGCCCUUAAGAAUGUUAGUCUUGGAAGUAUGUUAUGCAGCACCCUCUUGCUUAGAUUAACUGAACACCAAUGGUGCUGGAAAUUUAUCGGAAGCAAUGUCCUUAAUUGCUCCAAUUUGUGGAGGGUUUUCAAUUUACCAAAAUCACCAUCUCCUCCUGAAAAUGACAAAAGGUUACUAUCACCCGUGAUAUAUGACAAGUGUCGAGUUCGUUCCAACAUAUGAGAUCCUUCGAUGUCUUCCAACCUGGUACAGUGUUUUGAAGAUGCAAUUUGGGCAAGAUCAUUGACAAGGUCAUGCAUAAAGAAUUUCUCACCAUCCAUUUGAGAAUCAGGGACCCUGUCUAACAAUGAUCUUGAUCUCAACUCGAGAAUGUACUAGUUGCCUAGUUCUUCAACCGUUUCAUCUUUUUGCAACUUCUGAACUAGACCAUUAGCAAUCCACAGUUGAAUGAUUUGUUCUCUGUAAAAUUGAUAAUCUUUUGAAAAUAUUGCGCAAUAGGAAAAGCAUCGCUUCAAAUGUGGGGGAAGCUCAUUGUAGCUUAACAUCAAUGCUGGUAAGAUUCCAUUGUCUGGAAGCUCCCAUAUUUCACUUCUCAAAAUGCGUUUCCGCUCUUCAAUUGUUGAUUUUGAGCGUAACAUCCCAGCAAGGGUCUUUAUAGCUAAAGGCAAUCCUUUGCAUUUCUCUGCAAUUUUCUUUCCAAUCUCUUCAAGUUCUAGAUGUUCCUCAGGAUCCCUGUUUUCUAAUGAAUGUCGUUUGAAUAAAGCCCAAGAGACUUCAUUAGACAGAAUCCCCACAUUCAUUGCCCCACCACCCAUCAUCAAGGCAACACUCUCCUUACGUGUUGUCACAAUGAUCUUACUUCCGAGAUCUCCUUGCACAAAAAGAUGUCUCAAGUCAUCCCACUCAUUAUAUUGGUCAUUCCAAACAUCAUCUAGAACAAUAAGAAACUUUUUACGCUUUAAGCUCUCCUUCAAUUUGAUCUGAAUCUGAUUUAUAUUAUCAUCAACCUGUAAGCCAAUCUCUUGAAGCAAUCCUUUUGCUAUUCUGAAAGCAUCAUAUUGUUCAGACACACAAAACCAAGCUUUCAAAUCAAAAUGGUCGUUCACCUUCUCAUCAUUGUAAACAGCUUUAGCAAGUGUUGUCUUGCCCACGCCCCCCAUUCCAACAACAGGGAUUACAGUCAAACUUCUACCAUUUGCAUCAACAGAUAAUAAACGGCCCACCAAUUCCUCUGUUUCACUCUGCCUACCAAAGAUAUCAGAUUCAUCAACCACAGAAGUUGAAGGUCUUCUAGUUUCUUGUUUACCCGAAUCAAGACACGAUUUCAGGUCAAGACAACCAAUUUGCUUUUGCAACUCCUCCAAUGUUUCAAUAUUUUCUUCCAACUUAUCCUUUAUGUUAAGAAAAAAUUCAUCACUCAAGGACAAGCUGAGGUGACUUACCUGUGGGUUGCUUGUUUCUCCAAGAUUUUGACACUGACCUUCUACCUUUAGUCUCAAAACUUCAUAAUUGACUUCUUCAAUUAAGUUCUCAGCACUGUCCACAGCAUCUCGAAGCUCAUUAAGCCACUGGCUCACGUAUGGAUUUGAUGUUUGCUUAUUCUCUGCAUCACUUAACACAGCCUGAAGACCAAGCAAAGUCAUCCUCAGCUUCUUUAAGAGCCGAACAUCACACUUGUCCCUCUUAAACAUCUUCAGCAGAUCACCGUUAGGAGCAAGCCUGUCAAAGAGAACGUUCAAAGCUGAAGAGAGAAUUGCACCACCAACUGCUAAGCCAAUCUCCAUUUCUGAAAUCUGCAAAGCAAAAACAGGAAACCACAAAAUGAUUAUAAGAAUUUGGAGAAGAUUACUGUUUCUUUGCUAAGAGCUUUAUUUUACCUGUUGAAUGAUAAAGAGUAAUUUGCAACUAUGAAUGAUCACUGAUUUCUCUCUCUCUCUCUCUUGCUAGUGGUUUUACUUGUAACUGGUACAACUAUGUCUGCUACUAUUAACUAUUGUCCCUUUUUUCUCUUUUCCGAAAGUAUGACUUUUCAGCCAACAAGAUGACAAAGACUAUUCAUUACUCUCUCAAUGCCUUGAAUAAUUGAAGCAAGAGAGGAUAAGAAAGGGGUCGUUUGCUGUGAUGGAUAAAACUAGUUAAUUGAGGAUUAUUUUUUAGUGCCCUUUAGGGAUCAUUUGAUUUGAAGACAAGUUAUGUUAGGAUUAGUUAUCAUGUGAUAAGUUAUACUGAGAUAAAUUAUGAAAGGAUUAGUUCUGCUGAUUUAUUGGUUUGUCAUAGUCAAAUAAUAUGCAUGGCAUAAUUUUUAAGAAUACGGGGUCAUUUGGUGUGAUGGAUAAAAGGAAUUAAUCCCGAAACAAUUUUUGAGUGCCCUUUAAUUCGUUGUUUGGUUGCAAAGACUGGAAUAACUUAUCCCAAGAUAAUAGUUAGUCUUGGGAUAAUUUAUCCCUCCCUGAGGUGGAAUAGUAAUCCAACGAUAACUUAUCCUGGAUAAAGUAUGUAAAAUAUCAAAAAUACCUCCCUUAAACUCUCUUUAUACACCACUUUACAUUCAUGUAUAUUAAAAUAAUUUUUAACAAUAUUUAUGAUAAUAUUCACAACCUUAAUUAUUCAUUGUUUUUAUGAUAUUAUAUUUUUCUAUUAAAAAAUUGCAUUUUAUAAAUAUAAUUUUUAUUUAUGACUACAUUACAGGUUGAACUUAUUUGCCUAAUUUUUAUGUUUAUUUAUAUUUUAGUUUCUCUUAAAAUGUUCAGUCCACUACUAAUUACAUAUUUUUAAUUAUGCUUCCGAAACACCUUGAACAGCUCACCCUUAGGAGCAAGCCUAUUAAAGAGAACAUUCAAAGCUGAAGAGAGAAAUGCACCACCAACUGCUAAGCCAAUCUCCAUUUCUCAAACCUGAAAAACAAAACAAAGAAUCACAAAAUGGUUUAAUAUUUCUACUAGUAAGAGAUUUAAUUUACCUGUUGAAUGCUUGAGCAAUAUGCAAACAAUAACUGACUGUCCACUAAUUAAUUUGCAAUUGUUAUACCAAUUUUGGAGAAUGACUUUUCUCUUUUAUUUUCCACAGCAUAUAUAUUAAAAAACUAAAAAUAACACGACUUGUUAUAUUUUAAUUGAAUCAAACUUGUAACUUUUGGCUUGAUUAUCAAAUUCCAUACAAUAAUAAUAAAUUAUUGGUGGACACCACCAUUAUAUAAAGGCAAAUGAGUAAAUUAUAAGUAGUGGUUAUAAAAAAAUUUUAAUUCAACAACCUUCCUACUAUUGGUCUCUACAAUCAACUAGCAUUAGCUUUAAAAAAUGACCAGAAACUUCCUACUAAUUGUUUUCUUGAAAUUAAUGUUUUGAAAUCAAAUACUAUGAAAAGAUAGGCCAAGCAGAAAGGCACCCUCUUUUGUUGUUGCCACAAUAUAUUUGACUUUUCAGGACAAGUUCCAAUGGAUUCUAUGUCUUUUCCCUGUGAAGUAUUUCGUUUUCUUCUGUAACAUAAAAAGUUAAGAGGAAAUGACUUCUGCAUAUUUCUUUUUUCAAUAACCACCAAAUAAGAUCUAAACGUCAAAUAUUAUUAAGGUGUGUAACAAUAGCAAUCAUUCAUUAUAGCAGCCAAAAAGAUGUCUGUCAUUAUAAAGAGGUCCAACUUUGUCUUUCGUAAUUAUACUAAACUAACUUCACUUGUAAUCUCAAUCCUGAACAUUCUCAAGGACAACAUAGCAAUAUUUGCUGCUUCAACUCAACUAAGAUCAUAUACAUAACUUGAAAUAGCAUCACUUACUAUAUAUACAUACAAAAUAAAAUUCCAUCUGCUGCUACAAACUCGCGCACAACAGAGCAAUGUUGAGGAUGGAAGUAUUACCAAACUCGUGGACAACACCAUCUGGACAUACCAACUAGACCUUGUAGCACUGCUGGUCUAAAUGCAGGUUCAGCAAUUCAAGCAAAAUGUUUUAAGCAGUCAUUCUUUGAGUCUGAGGAGCACAUUUUAGGCACACAGAUGGAAGGAACUCUCACGAUCGACAUGUUUACCUGAUAAAGACCACAACAGUUAAAAUUACUAAAACACAAAAUGAUAAAAAUGGGCAUUUGAGCAAUUAAAGUUUCUCAAUUUUGAAGUGCAGCUGUAGCAGUGAACAACAACCAUCACAGUUUCAUACACAAAAAUAUCCUAUUUUUCUGAGAAUGAAAUGCCUACCAUUCUUUCGGGAGAUGGAAGGAAUUCUAGCAUUGGUUCUGGUGGCAAACUUCAGCUAAUCUCGAUGAGGAAAUGACAUCGUAUCUUGGCAGAGAAACUGAUCAAUCGAACCUUGUACUUUGUUGAGCUGCUGACAGAAGAGAAGAAAAUAGAAAUGAUCUUAACGUGCUAUAAGAGAAACUCCUUGUACAAAAGUUUGCUCAAUAUUUCCUUCUCAGUCGAAUAAAAGAAAAGUAGUAGUGUCAAAUUCCAGCGAAAAGAGAAAGUACCUUUCUGCACCUACAUUCUGUUGACCGAUCACAGUUGAGCUGAUAUUUGCCUAUUCAAAAGUUAGCAUGUGCAUUACUCUAAACCACUUCCUCCUUCCACAACUUAUUGUGAUAUGUUGGAAGAAAACCUGGAAGUAGUCCAAUAUAAAACUUGAAAUCAAUGCGAUAACAAGGCUUAAAUGUGGAAGCAGAUAUUGGAAGUUUUUUCGAAAUUCUCUAAAUUUCAAGCUUGAUGCAACUCUUUUCAAGAUUUUGGCUACCUGACUGAAAAAUGAGGUUGCAUUCCUUUGGACCCCUUAUAUCUGUGGAAGACACAAGAAAUGGGGAACAAAGCCGAACAACUUUUCAUGAUGGCAAAAAUUUUCCCAGUCUGCGAGAUUUGAGAGAGAACAUAGGUUAAAAUACAAGAAACAAUAGUCUUAAAAGAUUACCAGCUCAUUAAUAUUACAUUAAGAAAAGAGAAACGGUGAAAUAGUGUUAAUAUUCUAAGUAAGAUGAAGAGUGAAUAUAUAUAACAAGAAUUCAUGAAUUGCAAUUGAGAUGAAGAUCCAAGACGAUAAACAUCCUGCUGACAAGAUUACUAGUUCAUUAAUAUUACAUUGAGCUAUCAACUUUUCGAAGCGGAUUAUUUCAAUCCCAUACCAGCUUUCUUUUUCUCACCUUUUUGCUGUCAUCUAAAAUUAAACUCAUCCCGAUCCAAGAUUAUUCCUUGGCUUCACAGUGGCAAAAGACGCUUUGCGCUGCUUAAACAUUUAACAAAGGAAAAGAAUUAA